AUUGAACGCUGGCGGCAGGCCUAACACAUGCAAGUCGAACGAGUGGCGGACGGGUGAGAAAUGUCAGGGAAACCGCCUGAUGGAGGGGGAUAACUACUAGAAAUGAUAGCCAAUAACGCAUACCAUUGGUUGCGCACAGAUGGGAUUAGCUAGUAGGUGGGGGAAAGGCUCACCAAGGCGACGCUCCCUAGCUGGUCUGAGAGGAUGACCAGCCACAGUGGAGCUGGGACACGGUCCAGACUCCUACGGGCGGCAGAAGUGGCGAAUUUGGCACAAUGGGCGCAACCCUGGUACAGCCGUGCCGCGUGUCUGACGCAGGCCUUCGGGUUGUAAAGUACUUUCGUCGGGUGGGCGUUACCCGCAGAAGAAGCACCGGCUAACUCCGUGCCAGCAGCCGCGGUAAUUC
rnacentral:rRNA from 1 species